rnacentral:rRNA from 1 species
UACGUAGGGUGCAAGCGUUAAUCGGAAUUACUGGGCGUAAAGCGUGCGCAGGCGGUUCUGUAAGUCUGACGUGAAAUCCCCGGGCUCAACCUGGGAAUUGCGAUGGAGACUGCAAGGCUAGAAUCUGGCAGAGGGGGGUAGAAUUCCACGUGUAGCAGUGAAAUGCGUAGAGAUGUGGAGGAACACCGAUGGCGAAGGCAGCCCCCUGGGUCAAGAUUGACGCUCAUGCACGAAAGCGUGGGGAGCAAACAGG